CAGCAGCCGCGGGAAUACGUAGGGUGCGAGCGUUAAUCGGAAUUACUGGGCGUAAAGCGUGCGCAGGCGGUUGUGUAAGACAGGUGUGAAAUCCCCGGGCUUAACCUGGGAACUGCGCUUGUGACUGCACAGCUAGAGUAUGGCAGAGGGGGGUGGAAUUCCACGUGUAGCAGUGAAAUGCGUAGAGAUGUGGAGGAACACCGAUGGCGAAGGCAGCCCCCUGGGCCAAUACUGACGCUCAUGCACGAAAGCGUGGGGAGCAAGCAGGAUUAGAUACCCGUGUAGUCCCUGUCUCUUAUAA
rnacentral:rRNA from 1 species